CCGGUGAAGUGUUCGGAUUGCGGCGAAGUGGGCGGUUCCGCUGCCCGCGACGUUUAUGAGAAGUCCACUGAACCUUAUCAUUUAGAGGAAGGAGAAGUCGUAACAAGGUUUCCGAUAGGUGAACCUGCGGAAGGAUCAUUG
rnacentral:rRNA from 1 species